UGUAAGCGUAUACCAAAGUUGUUGCAGUUAAAACGCUCGUAGUCGGGCUUUGGCAGUUCCGGAUGUGUGCACGUCGUGUGCGCACUUCGCGGGGAUUGCUUUUGUGGUCUUGCGUAGGAUGAGGCACUUUUAUUAGUGAACGUCCUCACGCAACCACUUUUUACUGUGAGAAAAUCAGAGUGCUCAAAGCAGGCAUUUGCCGUGAAUGUAUUAGCAUGGAAUAAUAGAAUAGGACUUGGUUCUAUUUUGUUGGUUUGUUGGGACUGAGUAAUGAUUAAGAGGGACAGUUGGGGGCAUUUGUAUUUCGGUGCUAGAGGUGAAAUUCUUAGAUUACCGAAAGACAAACUGCUGCGAAAGCGUCUGCCAAGGAUGUUUUCAUUGA
rnacentral:rRNA from 1 species